ensembl:lncRNA
CUACAAAGAUGGACUUGAAAAUGAAGUAGUAUACAAGAUAUUCAGUAAGUAUUCCAAGAGAUAUUUUAGGAGUCUUGGGAAUUAAUUCCAGAUACAAAUCAAAAGUUUUGUCCCUGGUCGCUGGGCAAGAGCUCUUAGAAAAGACCGAGAGUAAUUAAAUAAGCAGGCAGCAUGUGCAAAUCAGUUCAAACCAAUACGAACAAAGGCAACUUGUUUUAAAUAUGGACAAAUGCCUUUGAUAGCAAGGUCAGAUUAAAAAAAAUAAAAAUUGGACUACUUAUAAAGAGAACUUUCUCCACUUUGACAAAUAUAAUUCCUCCUACGUUUCUCUGCACUGUGUCAGGAUCCCUGCAUGCAGAUGUAAGGGACUGUGUCUCUGGGUGCUGCUCAGCCAAGCAACAGCAGUGUCGUCAGGUGCAGUGGCUCUGGGUCUGAGCAGCGUAUCUGGCUGCAGGGCUGAGUUCAGGUCCAGACAGUCCAGGAGCUGGAUCAGAGUCUGAUGACCAUCUGCACUGAGUCUGUCAGCCAAAACCGUCUUGGCCAGUACAGUGCUGGGGAGCGAUCGCGUCUUUGUCUCUUUUUGAUCUUUCAGAUUACCCUGGGAAUCAGAGGAGCUACUGGAAAAGCAUAACACAGGGCUCAGCAGGAGAAUAACCGUCCUGGACCUGGGCCCUCUUGGAGCAGCAACUCUUAUUCUUGGAGUGAACGCCUGAUUCCCUGGAAAGGAUUGACGGGACCCAAACAAACCCUGCAACAAUCCCAAAUUUCACGAGUAGGGGGAAAAAAAAUAUAUUCUCCAGAGAUCAAAACUCGAGUGAAUCAUUUUCCACCACUCUGACAUGUCAAAUACUCCGGUGAUUCACCCGUCGAGGAGCUCUGAUUCACCCGCAGCAAACAGGGAUGACUGCUUCCCAGCAGCACCAGCAUGUGCAGCGCUGGUUAAAGGCUCCUCUUCCUGCAAACCAUCAAAACGGCAGCAGCAAGGGCAGCAAUAAAGGGCAAAAAGCUGCAGUUUGGGGGUUUUUGCUUCUAGCUGCAUGAAGGGGCUGAGAAGGAGAGUAACCAUGGUACUUGAUAAAUAGAUGGUGAGAAGUUAGGGAGCCUCAUGGAUCCUCCUUCCUCCUGUGCACACCCUUUGCUCCUGUUUAAGCAAGGAAAAGAGAAGGACAGACAAGAAGAGGCAGGAGGUGCUUGGUGUUUAUUUGUGGCUCUCAGGUUCACCUCCCUGCCAGCGCAGGAUGCAGUUUCUCCAAGAGGG